ACCUUGCUGACGAGUGUCAAGUAGCACGAAACCCGCGUCCAGGGU
rfam:Schistosoma curassoni strain Dakar, Senegal genome assembly, scaffold: SCTD_scaffold0016438